rnacentral:rRNA from 1 species
GACGAACGCUGGCGGCGUGCCUAAUACAUGCAAGUAGAACGCUGAAGCGAGGAGCUUGCUCUUCUUGGAUGAGUUGCGAACGGGUGAGUAACGCGUAGGUAACCUGCCUUGUAGCGGGGGAUAACUAUUGGAAACGAUAGCUAAUACCGCAUAACAAUGGAUGACCCAUGUCAUUUAUUUGAAAGGGGCAAAUGCUCCACUACAAGAUGGACCUGCGUUGUAUUAGCUAGUAGGUGAGGUAACGGCUCACCUAGGCGACGAUACAUAGCCGACCUGAGAGGGUGAUCGGCCACACUGGGACUGAGACACGGCCCAGACUCCUACGGGAGGCAGCAGUAGGGAAUCUUCGGCAAUGGGGGCAACCCUGACCGAGCAACGCCGCGUGAGUGAAGAAGGUUUUCGGAUCGUAAAGCUCUGUUGUAAGUCAAGAACGAGUGUGAGAGUGGAAAGUUCACACUGUGACGGUAGCUUACCAGAAAGGGACGGCUAACUACGUG